rnacentral:rRNA from 1 species
CCUACGGGUGGCAGCAGUGGGGAAUAUUGGACAAUGGGGGGAACCCUGAUCCAGCGACGCCGCGUGAGUGAAGAAGUAUUUCGGUAUGUAAAGCUCUAUCAGCCGGGAAGAAAAUGACGGUACCUGACUAAGAAGCCCCGGAUAACUACGUGCCAGCAGCCGCGGUAAUACGUCGGGGGCAAGCGUUAUCCGGAUUUACUGGGUGUAAAGGGGGCGUAGGCGGUGAAGUAAGUCUGAUGUGAAAGGUCGGGGCCCAACCCCGGGACUGCAGGUGAAACUGUUGAACUGGAGUACAGGAGAGGUAAGCGGAAUUCGUAGUGUAGCGGUGAAAUGCGUAGAUAUUAGGAGGAACACCAGUGGCGAAGGCGGCUUACUGGACUGUAACUGACGUUGAGGCUCGAAAGCGUGGGGAGCAAACAGGAUUAGAUACCCGGGUAGUC